rnacentral:misc_RNA from 1 species
AAGUCGUAACAAGGUUUCCGUAGGUGAACCUGCGGAAGGAUCAUUAUUGAAUUUCUGAAGGGUUGUUGCUGGCCUCUUGAGGGCAUGUGCACGCCUGGAUUCCAUUCAUCAUACACUUGUGCACUCAAUGUAGGGGCUUUAACAAGUCCUUAUGUCUUUCUAUAUACUCCUAUAAAAGUCUUAGAAUGUCUUAUAUCGUUUGUCGUAAAAAAGCAAACAUGAAAUACAACUUUCAACAACGGAUCUCUUGGUUCUC